rnacentral:rRNA from 1 species
UAUGUGAUCGUCUCUCGCAUAUCAAUAAGCGGAGGAAAAGAAACUAACAAGGAUUCCCCUAGUAACGGCGAGUGAAGCGGGAAGAGCUCAAAUUUGAAAUCUUAAAGGGUUUCCCUUUACGAAUUGUAGUUUAAAGAAGUGUUUUCUGUUGAGGUUUUGGUAAAAGUUCUUUGGAAUAGGACAUCAUAGAGGGUGAGUAUCCCGUAUUUGACCUUUACUUUCAACUUUGUGAUACACUUUCAAAGAGUCGGAUUGUUUGGGAAUGCAGUCCAAAAUGGGUGGUAAAUUUCAGUCUAAAGCUAAAUAUUGGCGAGAGACCGAUAGCGAACAAGUACCGUGAGGGAAAGAUGAAAAGAACUUUGAAAAGAGAGUUAAACAGUACGUGAAAUUGUCAAAAGGGAAGCGUUUGACACCAGUGUUGUUUUUCUGAAAAUCAAUUAAAGAACUGUUUAUGCUAAGCUGUUUAGACUUUAUCAGCUAUCUGUUUAGUUUUGAGCUUUUCUUUAAUGCACUUUUCAGUUAACAAGUCAACAUCAAUUUCUUUUGCUGUAAAAAAGCUUGAGGAAGGUGGCUUGAGAUUCGUCUUAAGUGUUUAUAGCCUCUUGCCUAUGCAGUCGGAGAGAUUGAGGUCUGCAGCGUAGAUCCUUCGGGGCUAAAUGCAUUUGUGCUAAGUUAUAGCAUUUUAUAGACAACUUGUUGACUAUGAUUUGUCUUGUAGCUUACUCGCUUAUGUUAUUUUACCUACGCUUAGGAUGUUGAGCGCAUGUCUCUCUCU